UCCAGUCUCAGCUAGUGCUGCUGGUGCAGGG
rnacentral:piRNA from 1 species